UUAACUAUUUUAUAAGACUCAGACGAUACUAAUAUUCAGAGUUUGGGGUUCUCUAGCGGGCUAGAGCCCGCUAAAGCAACAAAGUUUUAUACGCAAGGGUGGGAGAUCUACCCGUGAAGGCAUGAACUCUGUAAUGAUCCUUCCGCAGGUUCACCUACGGAAA
rnacentral:misc_RNA from 1 species